CCCCCUCUAUACGAUCAGUCACUGCAUUGUCACAGGAUGGGAGGGGGAGAGGAGGCUUUCGGCGGGGAGCGCCGGCCUGGUGUCACACGCAGCAUGACACAGUGCAGAGGAGAGUGAAUUGUUGCUUCUCCUCCCUCUCGGGUCGGACUAAACUUGGCAGCAGCUACUGGGGGACAGGCAGGUCACUCCUUCCUAAACCUCUAAUUUGGCUUGGAUGUCCCACUGGCCACCACCAUCAAAAACACACUGGAACAGAGCUGCUGAGACUUCCUCCACCUCACGUUCCGUCAAUGGGUAGCACUGAAUUCCAGCCAGUUGAUGGGAGAUCCUCUGAAUGAAUUUCAUUACUUUUGGCCGGCACACGUGGCCCAAACCCAAAAAUAUUCUGUUCUCAUUUUAUAACAAAUCUGAAUUUUGUGUCAGCUAUUGGGAAUUAAUCCAGCCCUUCUGUCUAAUUUCAACUUGCACUGUAGCGUUUUAACCAAGUCUCCAUGUCUUGUCCACCAAAGUUGUUCCAAUACCGGUGAACUAGCCAAGAGAAGUCAAUGACUUGCAUAUAUUCCGAUUACAAUGAAUAUACUGUAUUGGUGAUGAGAUACAUGGAACACAGAGAUGGAACAAGGAUGCUUCUCAAAGAAGAUAGUUAUAGUCUUUAUUUAUUUGACUUUGACAUCUAUUGGUGUAAUUUUUUUGUGUGCAAUAUUAUACUCUUUCCAGGAUAAUGAUUCAGCAACAUGAAAUGUAAUUUCAUGGGGAGUAAAGCCAGGACCAAACUUUCUGCAUUGGUUAAUGAGCAUAUGGGUUAAUGUAAAAGUCCAUAAUAUUAUCAAGCAUUGACUAAGUAAAUACUGGCAUAGUAAAAACACAGAAGACAGGGUCUGGAGAAUUAAUGCUGCCUGUCUCCUAGGAGCACCUAAAUUAUACAUGGGGCCAUUUUUUUUCUCUCUAUGAGAGCAGAAGCCAAAGAGUGAGGAGUGAAUAAUGGUUGUGAAUAUGUGUAAUAUACAGUAUGUAGUAUACAACAUAUAUAUGUACUGUAGCAUUUUCAGAUGUAAAAUGAUGAAAACCCUAACACACAGACAUUUAGGGGUAGAUUUACUAAUGCUUCUAAAAAGGAAAAAUAAUGGUGUGGCCCAUAUCAUUUCUAUACUGCAUCCUAAAACCUGAUAGACAGAAUCUGAUUGGUUGAUAGGGCAACAUUACCACUUGUUAUUUUAAGAAGCUUUAAUAAAUCUAGCCCCAAAUCUCAGCUGUGUUGAAUUGUGAUGGUGUAUCUAGAUUCAGCAAAGCACAGUAGUCGGUAGAACAAGAUGGAGGCAUUUGCAGGGAAAUGGAAGUUUUCACCAGCUAAUGAGAGGAUUUUGGGGCAGAGGCGUAACUCCCAGAGGCAAUGGAGACACCUGCCUCCGGGCUCCAAGCCCUGAAGGGGCACCUGCAUGUACAGCAGCACCUGUGUGGUUUACAGUAAGAUCAAAGUGUGACUGCUGCUCUUCAGUCACGCCAAUACCUCCAAUAGGGGACAGGAUGUUUAGGGUGUGCUUAAGAAUACUGAAUGGAUGAUUUUAAUACUCCAGCAGUGCCCCCACUGGAAGCAAUGGCCACAGCCAUGAAUGGGAAGCAGAUAGCAACUUAUGUACAUAUAAACUGCUGGUUCCUACGCCUCCCUGUGAUUCUUAUGCCGGGAGUGUGGCACUCAGCUAUGAUUUCACAGCCAAGUGCCACACACUCAAUCUGAAUGACCAAGGAUGUAGCCGCCACCUCUUGCCCGUCAGUGUAAGAAUCCGUGGGUGUGGGGUGUUGCGUCAUAUUGAGGAAAGAAGGGAUUACCUCAGUGGGGUUUCACUAACUCUGCUGAAACCCCCUCUUUCUCGUGAUAAAGCCAUAAAUUAGGCUAUAUUGAGAUUUUUUUGGGGUUUUUUUUAGAACAAUUUGUCAGUUUGUAGGAGGUUACACACCCAUACACCUCUACAUAGCCAGUCUCUCCAGAGGUUCCCACCUCAUCAUGCACAUGGGAGCAUUUCUAGUUUGCAGAGCAUCACCUAAGACUUAAGAAUAUGUGUGCACCUGGAAGCAUGCUGUGCGGUCCACCUGGGUGCUGCAGUGCAAAACCAGUGAAGCAACCAGGUGCAGUUCAUGCCUGAACUUCCCACUGUUUAUCAGCUCAGGCACAAGUGCACUGAAAAAUGGCAUCUACUAUAAUGUCAUCUUCUAUAAGUCUCUAACAAUUUUGUAUAAUGGUCUAAGCAUUUAGCAAAAAUAAAUAAAUACAUACAUACUCUGAAACCUAUAGGCAAAUGCCGUGAGAGUUUUCAGUUGCCUGGAAACCCCCUUCCCCUGGCUGAAAUUAUGACAACAAAAGCAAUAGUAUAUAUUGUAAUAUGGUUUUACUAGGGGUACAGGCGCAUUGUGUAGUUUAGGGGAUGGAACAGAGCUGCACAUUGGCAGCAGCUUUUUCUUCAAGUAUGUGUGGUAACACCAGCGGUAUGGCUUAGGUAAUCAUUUCUGUAUGUUAUCCACCCACUGGCCAAAAUCUACUGGUGGAAGCAGAUAAAAACAAUAUAUCAAUAUCUAACUAGAAAUUAUGUAUUAAUGUAGAUCUAUAAUAGUUUAACCCUUCUCUCCCGACAUAGCUAUUGGGCUGUAUUCAAUACCUGUCGGAUCCUUUCUGACGGAAAGGAUCCGACAGGUCAGUAUUCAAUGCCGGGCCAAAUCCAACAGGAUUGGCCCGAUCCCGACAAUGGCAAUCCGACUUUUUUUAAAGUCGGAUUGACAUUGUCGGAAACGGGGCUAAAACCUGUUGGGUUUGGCUGCGCUUAUGACAAUACACGCGGAUCGGCGGCUUCAGGAAUUCCCAACUUGUCGGAAAAAAACUAAACCUGUCGGAAGCUGCCGUCUUUCCGACAAGACGGCAGCGUCCGACAAUUAUUAAAUACAUCCCAUCAUCUAGCUAGGCUAUUCCUUAUAGAAGAAUGAGAGUGCUACUACGCAUACUCUACACUGGCUCCUUUAGGGAGGCCCCAAUCACUAAACUAGAUGGCCGCCGUGUGGACCUCUGCGCAUGCGAGUUGCCAUCUUGCCCUUGUGUUAGAGCGCCACAGAGGGACACGGAUAUGUUUCGCUUAGCUCCAGACAGACUCUGUUACAUCCAUUGGUAGCACUUGCAUCCUGCACUGCUAGCCACAUACAACCACCAGCUGAUAACCUGUAUGCUCUGCUCUAUACUGGGAGUCUGUGUAUGCAUAACUGUGAGUAGGGCAGUGCAAAUCCCAUUACUGCUGAAUAAAUCACCCCACUGAUUAAAUACUGGGCUGUUCACUGCAUCCGCUGGUGUGUACUCUGCCAUACCACCGCCAAUAGUAAACACAUAUUCCAACAUCCUUGACAACCAUCCAUGUGGUACAGUUGGCAUCAGCGCCCUUCUUUUGCCUAUUUUGUGGUUGCCCAUUCUGCUUAUUUACCAAAUUGCACAUACCAUACUGGAGAUUUUUUUUUCUCUUUUCUGGUGUUCAUGUAACCCGUAACUGAAGGUAGACACAGAAUCACACAGAUGGUGUAUAGAUGGAAAGAACAGUCUGCUCUAUGUGUGAACAGUGCAAGGAAAUGAGGCAGGAGAUGGGUCGCGGUGGAAGAUGAGUAACAGGCCAGCGGAUCAUUCCAGCCGUAGUGUUUGAAGAGAUUAUAAGAAGGAAGUGGGAGGAUGAGAGACCAGAUAAAAGACACAUGGAGUAAUGAACAUGAGAACGUGUUAGGGGGAAACAUUAUUUUUCUUGCAACAAAUAUACAAGUUAAUAAUGUUUUGCUUGUAAAUUUUACCCCAAAAUUCAUAUUUUAUGGAUGACAUAAGUGAGAGGUUUUUAAUCAAAGUUUUAAUACAACAUAAAAAAGUAGGAGCCUCACUGCUCCAGGGAAAUGUACAAGAUUUAAGUAAAGAACUGUGGUAGAACAUUACAGUGAGGACAAUCCUAGUAAUAUCCGCAACCCCACUGUAAUAACAACACUGGAAUCCUGAUUACUAGGCUGGAGCCCAUCAGUCAGACAACAAUGGUAAGAUUAAUGCAUCUGCCACUAAUAAUGAUCCCAUGUUGCGUGGGAUUUUCGAAAUGUUUCUAAGCAGAAUGAGUCAAUUAGACAAUAAAACAAAUGUGGAGUUGACACCCUGAGGAAAUAUGGCAAAGAAAGUCAGUAACUUGUCUGCAGUGGAAUUCUCUCUGGUUGGGAUUUCGUUUGGAAAACAUUCAUAAAUGGACUUAACAAAUGUGAAAGAUUUGAAAUUCAGAUUUUUAUUACCUUUCCUAACCCGAUGUCGGAAGAAAACCAGGGAGACGCUCUUGUACAAGUUUAAAUGUUAGAAAUAAAUCUUUUGUUAAAAAAAAAAAAAAAUUACAUCUGAAAGCAAUUGAAACAAACAAGAUGAUGUUCUUGUUAUCCGCAAUCAAAGUUGAAAAUACAACCUUAGGGUGGCUGUGUUGGCUUUUGUCAAGUUACGUUUUGUUUCAGGAAUUGUGUGCGGUCGGUUCUGUGUAUCAUAUGCUAGUAGUAGUAACUACAGUAUCUGUGAGAUUGGAAGACCUAUAGAAUAUUUCAAAGACCCAGAGAGUUUUUGUGCCUUGGUCCUGACUGGAUGUGGGAGUCAAAUGAAGACUCAGGGGAUUUAAAUUAAAGACACCCUAGCUCACUGGAUGAUAAUGGGCAUGAGAGGUAGUGUUUCAUUAUUUAAAUGAUGUUGAGUAGCACCCUGCAUACCUUUUACCUUGCCAUGUUGCCAGACUCUGUGCUGCCAAUGAUAAUACCACUACUGCUCCUCUGUGUCCAUCAUACCCGACCACUGCGCUGUGUGAUCACACCUGUCACUGACAUUGAGGAGUAGCAGCCAGUAGCAUUGCAGGCAAAAGGUAAGAGACAGCAAGGGAGGUGCAGUGCCUUAAAAAGAUAUGGGGAUACCCAGAUGCAAGAUAUUCUUUUUCCCAUUGUUAGUGAUCACCUCAGCUAUAUAAUAAUGAGCUACGGCUGACCUGUCUUAUUGCGCUAGGUGCAGAGAUACCCCUCGACCAAGAGAUUAACGGAUCCAAAUAUGCUAUUAUCCAUUAAGGCACCCUUUUCUACUAGGAAUGCCUACAGCUCAUUGGCAUUUCUAAAAUGGGUGCAACACCGCACACACUGCACCCAUGUUUUGUUACAUAUCUCUCCGGAGUUCCGCGUCAGAGCUGCACCUGCGGUAAAAUAAUCACUGCCACGCAUGCGAAGCAGGGAUUUAGUCUCCGGAAUACGGUGGGCGCCAUGUUUCCAGAGACCUGCGCAUGCGCAGUAGCCUCUGGUACAAUGCCAAAGUCUAACGUGCCGUCUACACACGGAUCCCCUCCUCUUUUAAAACGCCCCUGCUAUAGCUGCCGUAUUUCCUAAGCAAUGGUAAUUAAUAAUGAUAUCACCUAGUACAACUUCUUUACACGAAACUAACUCUUUCAGGGGCGUAUGACCAACUGCAUCUAUAUGAAAUCACCGUGUGGCACUCUGUACCUUAACAGUCUUGUAUUGUGGACAGGAAAUGUUAGUAUAAUGAAUGUUGAGAUGGCGUGAUAAAAAUGUAUUACUAUAAAUUAUCAUAGGAGGAGAUAUUUGCUGCAGAAGGUCAACUACCGCACAUUUUUAGAUAUAUUCUGUAUGGACGGUUGUACUUUUUUUUUUUCUUUGUUCAUUUUUCAUUGUUGGUUCUAUUUAUGAAAACUGGUGCACAAGGAAAAGUUGUUGUAACUGACCAUUGAGGUUUUAGUAGAUAGUACGGUAGAUAGUAGUAGUAAUCACUGACCUGUA